rnacentral:rRNA from 1 species
GACGAACGCUGGCGGCGUGCUUAACACAUGCAAGUCGAACGGAAAGGCCCUGCUUUUGUGGGGUGCUCGAGUGGCGAACGGGUGAGUAACACGUGAGUAACCUGCCCUUGACUUUGGGAUAACUUCAGGAAACUGGGGCUAAUACCGGAUAGGAGCUCCUGCUGCAUGGUGGGGGUUGGAAAGUUUCGGCGGUUGGGGAUGGACUCGCGGCUUAUCAGCUUGUUGGUGGGGUAGUGGCUUACCAAGGCUUUGACGGGUAGCCGGCCUGAGAGGGUGACCGGGGACAUGGGGACUGAGAGAGGGACCAGAAGGCAAGGGGUGGCAACAGUGGGGAGUAGGACGGAAUGGGGGGGAGUCAGAUGCAGAAACGUGGCGAUCGGAAUGAUGGGGUUUGGGUGGUAAACAACUGUGGAAGGUGAUAAGGAGGGAGUGACGGUAAUGGGUAAAGAAGCAACGGCUAACUACGUG